CUGGAAACAGUUGCUGCCUGCGGAUCUUAUCCAUGGGAUCAGCUUGGAAGAAGUUGGGGGUUGUGUUUGUAAUCUGUUGUUACCAGAAGUCGAGCUUCUGGGAAGAAAUAAAGGGAUCAUAGGCCCUGCGGUCAGCCCAGUGUGGACUCAGAGGUUCAGAUUCAUGUGUGGGGUUCUUCCGGUCUGCCCAGAAGUACUCUGAACACCCCAAACAAGCAAACAUCUCAGCUCCAGGUCUGAGGAGGGGAUUGUCUUUGAAGUGGUUCAAUUAAGGUAUGAUACAUAUUCAAAAUUGCUUUUUAUUUAAAAAAAUUUCUCAUGAGUUUG
rnacentral:lncRNA from 1 species